rnacentral:rRNA from 1 species
CUCCUACGGGAGGCAGCAGUGGGGAAUAUUGGGCAAUGGGGGAAACCCUGACCCAGCAACGCCGCGUGAAGGAAGAAGGCCUUCGGGUUGUAAACUUCUUUUAGCAGGGACGAAGAACGUG